AAAAAGGAAAAGUCAGAGGGAUGAGCUGAGAAAAGUGUCCUUUUGGACAAAAAGUUCACUGAGAAUAUGUAGCCCACAAGAGAAUAUAGACUAGUCAUGAAGUGAGAGAGAUGAAUGUAAGACAGUCUGAGAAGCAUGCUAAAAAUAUAUUACUAUCAAAAUAUUAAUAGAACAAGAAGAAGAUAGAUCUACAUCAGGUGGAUUUAAGGAAAUACAUGGUCAAGACAUGUGUUGAGUGUCACAAAGACAGAGAGACAUUAGCACUCUGAAGGCAUUUGGAAAACUAGAUUGAGUAAUCUCUUUGGGACAGAACUUCAGUAAUAGAAUUUCGUGGUCAAAGGUCUGGGAGGUUGCCUGGUGAGUUCAAGAAGUCCAGAGAUCUUGGAUCUCUCAGUCAGAGCUGGCUGGCAGCGUGAA
rnacentral:lncRNA from 1 species